rnacentral:lncRNA from 1 species
GACCCACAAGUUUAUGCAAUUGUCUUAGGUCUUAAUUCAUAAUUCUAGACCAACUUGACAACACUUAAUUCUUUUAAUUAAGUAUUUGGGCUGAUGGGUCAGGGUUUGGCAUUUCAAAAUUAAUUUUCAAAUUUGAAAGGUUUUAUUUUCUGUUCACCAAAUAUGUUGACUCAUUUCACAAAUAGAUCAGCACAUUUCAUAAAUAGCAAUCCUAUUGCUAAUUACUUAACAGGAAAUAACUCAAUCAAAAUAAAUCAUGAAUAUUCCUUUAAAUCUAAUCUAACACAUUCAUGAUAAAUUUUAUAAUUGAACCUUU